AUCCAGCUGACGAGUUAGAAAUAGGACGAAACACGCAUCCUGGAU
rfam:Schistosoma rodhaini strain Burundi genome assembly, scaffold: SROB_scaffold0016393